AUGGUUGAUAAGAGCAGUGAUGAGUAUGAAGAGAAAAAUAACAAGGGCCUAAGGGAGGGCAGGCCACAGGCUCCAGGAUACAAAGGCAAAGACAUGGACCUGCCCCUGCAAGUUCCAAGUGCCACUGGACCCCUUCUUAUGGACUUGAGAGGAUGGGAUGGUACAGAGAGAGCCAGAAGCAUAGAAAGGAGAAGAAAACCUCACAGUUGACACCUCAAUGGGGCUUUAGUGAAAAUGAUGAUGAUGAUGAUGAUGACCAUGAUGAGCAUUAUUCAUCUGAAAUGGAUUCUGAUUCUGAUGAUGAUGAUGAAGGGCAUGGAGCCCAUCUGGAAGUAGUUCCGUAACCCUGCAGAUUAUGAGCAUUUUCCAGUUUCUGCUGAGAUUAAGGAACUCUUCCAGUACAUCAGUACAUACACACCUCAGUUGACUGACCUGGACCACAAACUGAAGCCUUUCAUUCCUAAUUUUAUCCCAGCUAUUGGGGAUAUUGAGGUAGUCUUAAAGGUCCCAUGUCCUGAUGGAAAGCCUGACAACCUUGGCCUGUUGGUAUUGGAUAAACCUUCUACAAAGCAGUCAGACCCUACAGUGUUCUCACUGCGGUUAACAGAGAAUUCUAAGCAGCACAACAUCCCACAACAUAUGAAAGCAAAGAGCCUGGAAGAUGUAGAAAAGAAUCCCAAAGCCAUUGACACAUGGAUUGAGAGCAUCUCUGAAUUACACCGUUCUAAGCCCCUUGUGACUGUGCACUACACCAGGCCCCUGCCUGACAUUGACAUGCUGAUUCAGGAAUGGUCCCUGGAGUUUGAAGAGCUUUUGGGCAAGGUAAGCCUGACCACAGCAGAGACUGAUUACAGCCUGGCAGGCUACACUGACAUGAUCUGUGACAUUAUAGACAUCUCUGUCUACAAGAGUCGGAUCCAGUCCCUCCAUCUGCUUUUCCCUGUACUCAGAAUUCAAUAAUUCACAGCAUUUUAAAGCUCUAGCUGAAGGCAAGAAAUCAUUCACUCCUUCAUCCACUCUACCUCCCAAGCUGGAGAUGUGGACACAUUAACCUUCAGCUGAGACACUUCCUAAGUUGCUGUUUCAAGGCUGAGCUGGCCCCUCCACCCCAGCUGAGAUGGACAGAUCAUUGUCAGUCACCUGAUGUCCUUGCCUAUGCCACAGCUUGGCUAAAGGGCAGUGUAUGUCCUGCUGCCCUCUCUGCCAGAGGGCACUGCACAGAUUUGUUUAAUGAACCUGCCUGCCUCAGACUGCUCUCCCCAGGGAGUUAAUGCAGCUACACUACUAUGGGGAUUUGAAUUAGAAGAAUUGGAAUUUCUGAGAUCCCAUGGAACUCAGGUUGGGAGGAAAGCUUAAAAGAUGUCCUUUUUGGGGGAGGGAUGGAAUUGCUUUCUUUCAUUCUUAAAAGUUGGUGGGUCAAGAUUUCAUAAAUCAAA